CUUCGCAUUUUUUUUCAUCGGCUAACUGCUCCCCACAAACCAUAUUCUCCCACUGCUUCUUUUUUUUGGCGAAAAAUAUUCUUCAUUCACCACUUCUCAGAUCUCUUUGUUAGUUUUCUUCCCAGGAUUUUUUUCUUCAGUGCGCAUGAAGAUGGUUUAGGGAUUUCAAUCUCAUUAAAGAUUUCCCAAUCGAUAUAUCCAAAGUUCCCAAGAGUUUUUAUUUGAGUAAAGGGAAGGAAGGAGUUUGAAGACUACUAUCAACAAUAUGUCACACAUCCUGAUAAAGCCACGGUCUUCAGAAUCUUCAGUCUUUCAUAUCAAUGAGGUUUUGGUUUCAUCCAAUUUAGUUCUCAAUUAAGGUUUUCAAUUCAUUGGGACUAUUAAUUUUGUGGGUUUUCUCAAAAUUCUCAGUUAUGUGCAGUACACAUGGAUGCAUCGUUCUUCCUAAAAUAUUUGAUAUACUGCAGGUACAUGCGUUUAAUCAUCGUCAUUUAAAGGAAAAUACUUUUCAUCCAAAAUUUAAAGUUACCCAUACUUUAGAACUUCCAAGAGUUGAAAUUGUGUCCUUCAAUUACCCGUGCAUCCAUGCUCUUAUAAAGUUAAGUUUUCAUUCUCCAAAGAAAGAAAGAUAAUCACAUAUAAUAUGUUUGGAUUCAUGUUACAGCAGUCGUGGCAUUGUGCAGAUAGAAUUGUGCUGAAUUUUGGUUAUUUUGAGAGAGUAAACCCAAUGCAAUUUAGUUGUUUGUGGAAAAGACAAGCAGAAAUUCAUCUUUAAUUUUCACUCCAUUGGUUGAAGAUACCAUGGAGAACGUUGAGGAUAAGAUUCAGGUAAAUAUUUUUCUCUUUUUGUUUUCCUGUUAAGUUUUUUGUUUUAUUGUUGUGAUUUUUCAGUUGCAGAGGUUGAUUUUAACAUUUUGUUUACAUUCCUGCCUUAAGUUUCUUUCUGAUGCUCUUAGUAUCGUUUAGAAUCAAUCUUUCCCUAAAUAUAAAGUAAUUAGUUCCUGACUUGAUGUAUCACCUUAAAUGAAUAGAGUCGUAUUCGAUACUAAUAGAAAUAUAAAACAUCUCACAGUUUUGAUUUCAAUUUUUCUUUGUACAUUCUAAAAAUCUGAGUUAUAAUCUUUUCAUAGUGUGCAAAUUUCUACGGUUAGAAUACUGGGUUUACCAGUUGUACUGUUGUAGGUAUGGUUGUAGUUCAUUAUAUGUUCAGUCAUCAUCCUGAACACUAUGGGAGUCGUUUGUAAGUCAAUCUUGUGAGUAACUAAACAUAUUCCUUAUUUCUCUCUCUCUCAUUGCUCACUGAAAAUCUUUUCAUUUGAUAGUUUAUGUAAUUUCUUUGAAUUUACGAAAAAAAUUCAUGUACAACUUUUAAUUUCUGUCUCGGAAGAAUUCACCUGAUCGUUGCUGCAUAGUGACUGUCCAGUGCUAAAUGCUGAUGGUCUAUAAUGAAAGCCAUUGCAAAUCCUAGGGUUAUUACUCGAUCAGCUGGGGCUUCUCACAGUGAAAUCGCUCAGUAACCUGGCAAGCAUUUUUUCUAUCAUAAUAGGGUUGAAUAUAAAAGUAUGUCUUUUGAUGAGUAUGGCACAACAUCUUAUAUGAACUAUUUGGAGUGGUCUCAGUCGUCAUCCAUCACGAGGAAAGUUGUUCGUUAUAGCUGUAGGAAUUGCUCUGGCAAUGUUUCCCCUCCUUACAAAGAAUUUACCGAUGCACAUGCCCUUUAGAUGCUACCUCCAUUUCUCUUACCUACCGAUGGUGGAGUUUCAUCAAAGACACUGUCAAGUUGACUUCAAACUUCAUGAAUAAGGUAAGAAAAGUAGCUCAUGUGAUGCACACCGGAAAAACGCUGUUGCCAGUUUAGAAAAACUGAAAUUAGUCAGAACAAGUAAAGAAAACUUCCAUUAAUAUUUUCUUUCUUUUGGUGAGAACCUCUAAGAAACUUACUUAUAAACAGUGUAUGGAGAAACUGAAAAUGCCGGAAGUGCGGUGCUAUUUGACUCACGGCAAAAUGAGUAAGAGAUCAAGCUUGGGUUUUACUUUUAUUGAUGAGGAAAUCUGCGUUACAGGUGAAACAGGAUUCAUCUGCGAUGCAAGAACCACUCGUGAUGGAGGGAUAAUAAUGUGGCUGAUAGGAGCUCUAUCUUUGGCAAGACAAUAAGUUACAAGAAAAUGGAUAUUGAAGACAAACAUGUAAUGAAACAUUAUAGGAAGAAACUAAAAAUGCUGGAAGUGAACUUUGACAACAAUCUUUGUGAUAUAUCUAAAACCUUACUUUGCUACUUGCGUUGUUAGAAGAACUUUCAAAGGCUGAUCGUUUUCCUUCUUAUGAGGUUGUCAUAGGUGAACACUUGUAUGCCUGGAAACUCUGUGUGCGAACUUUAAUGCUAAUAAUUAUAUAAAGCUUUCCAAUUCCAAAAAUGAAA